AACGAACGCUGGCGGCAUGCCUAACACAUGCAAGUCGAACGAGACCUUCGGGUCUAGUGGCGCACGGGUGCGUAACGCGUGGGAACCUGCCCUUAGGUUCGGAAUAACUCCCCGAAAGGGGUGCUAAUACCGGAUAAUGUCUUCGGACCAAAGAUUUAUCGCCUUUGGAUGGGCCCGCGUUGGAUUAGCUAGUUGGUAGGGUAAAAGCCUACCAAGGCGACGAUCCAUAGCUGGUCUGAGAGGAUGAUCAGCCACACUGGGACUGGGACACGGCCCAGACUCCUACGGGAGGCAGCAGUGGGGAAUAUUGGGCAAUGGGCGAAAGCCUGAUCCAGCAAUGCCGCGUGAGUGAUGAAGGCCUUAGGGUUGUAAAGCUCUUUUACCCGGGAUGAUAAUGACAGUACCGGGAGAAUAAGCGCCGACUAACUCCGUG
rnacentral:rRNA from 1 species